rnacentral:lncRNA from 1 species
CAGAGAACCAUGGUUUUGCACAGGAUGGCAAUGUGUUGACCCUGGGCAAUGACUCCUGAAAGGAGAGUCUUGUUUCCUUCUUAUCCAACCGUCCUUACCGUUGAGAGAAUGGAUGUUCACCAUCAGUUGGGAAGGAAAGGAGCAAAAGCCAAUUACAUGGGGCCAAGCCAUUCUUCCAACACUCAGCAAAUUACUCCUUUGGAGAGAGGGCUUUGGAAUGCUGAGACUCCCAGGACAGUGGGAACGGGUCUGGGCCUUGGCAGGGGGCUGCCCAUGGAGAAUGUGGUCAAACAGGCUUGAGGCCGUUGGCUCCCUGGCCUGCAUCCAUGCUUGCUGCGCCUGGUCCAGUUUUGUUCUUUCAGAGCAUCACAGAACCACUUCAGACACUCCUUUUACAUAGGAAAGUGACCUCUCUGUACCACAGGGCGUGUUUUUCUCACCUUCUGCUUGGUGCUUGCCUGGAACAGCCCUGCAGUUGUCAGAAGAGGAUGUGAGAGAACACAAACCUGGUGUAUUUGGUCCCCAGCCACAGCAGCUGCUUUUUUAUAAUCCUCUGUUGUUCAGAAUCCUCGGACUGCUUCCUUAAGACUUUAUGUCCAGCUUGCUUUGGCCACAGGUGCUAUUUUUGCACCCGG